rnacentral:misc_RNA from 1 species
UACGAAGGGUGCAAGCGUUGUUCGGAUUUAUUGGGCGUAAAGCGCGCGCAGGCGGAUUAUCAAGUCAGGUGUGAAAUCUCGGGGCUCAACCCCGAAACUGCGCCUGAAACUGGUAGUCUAGAAUCUCAGAGGGGGUAGGGGAAUUUCACGUGUAGGGGUAAAAUCCGUAGAGAUGUGAAGGAACACCUGAGGCGAAGGCGCCUACCUGGAUGAGUAUUGACGCUGAGGCGCGAAAGCGUGGGGAGCAAACAGG